AACGAACGCUGGCGGCAUGCCUAACACAUGCAAGUCGAACGAGACCUUCGGGUCUAGUGGCGCACGCGUGCGUAACGUGUGGGAACCUGCCCUUAGGCUCGGAAUAACUCCCCGAAAGGGGUGCUAAUACCGGGUAAUUUCUGCUGAUCCAAGAUUGAUCGUCCUAGGUUGGGCCCGCGUUGGUUUAGCUUGUUGGUAGGGUAAAAGCCUACCACGGCGACGCUCCAUAGCUGGUCUGAGAGGAUGAUCAGCCACACUGGGACGGAGACACGGCCCAGACUCUUACGGGAGGCAGCAGUGGGGAAUAUUGGAAAACGGCGGAAAGCCUGAACGAGCAAUGCCGCGUGAGUGAUGAAGGCCGUAGGGUUGUAAAGCUCUUUUACCCGGGAUGAUAAUGACAGUACCGGGAGAAUAAGCACCGGCUAACUCCGUG
rnacentral:rRNA from 1 species